UGAAAUUAAAAGUUAUUUAUCAGUAUUAGAAAUUGAGAGGGACGUGAAAUUAUUAUAUAUCUAGGCUCAUUCAGAUGAAUUCAGUGACAUUCAUAAGUUCUGAUAUUAAAUAAGAGGACAACACAAAGCAAUUACAUCAAAUCCCAACGAUCUAAGUUUGAGAAGUUAGAUGACAUACAACGAUUGUAGUCUUUGACCUGAAAACAGCAGAUUUUUCCAGCACACCUCCAGAUGAUUCACAGCUUAUGCUCCAAAUGAGAUGACCAAUCUUGCUAACUACCUCGGCAUUGUUUCUUUAAUAAUUGUUGCUCGUAUCUUCUAGUCCACUGGAACCUCUACUUCCAUCUUCAAACCAGAGUUUCCGAGUAUCUGAUACAGAACAAAAUCAUGUAUGAUGAAUAUGCUUCUUGAACAAAUUCACAUGUAUAAAACAUAAAUGACAAUUGUUUCAUACGUAUCUUAUUUCUGACAACAAAAAAGUACAUUUACUUAUGAUUGUAAUGAGAAUUUUCCAAAAUCCCAAAAUUUGUUCAGCUAGUUGUAACAGAGUCCAUUUAAAUAGUUUGGUCUUAGAAACCAUUCCAACAUAAACUGCUUCCGG
rnacentral:lncRNA from 1 species